CUUUAGGAAUCACAUAUUUGUGAUGUAUUGUUCUCUCAUUUUCCCCUCUAACAUCUAAUCAGUAAACCAGUCAGGUUAUUUUCACUUCUAAAGUAGUUCUUGUCUCCAUCAUCUUUUAUUAACUCUCACUCCCCUAAAAUUAUCAUACUCCACUGAACAUUCUUUGUAGCACUAAAAAUGUGUAUUAUUUUCUAGUUCACUCCAUUCAGAUUUUUCACUGGAAGUCAUUUUUAAGGUAUAAUUUCGUACACU
rnacentral:lncRNA from 1 species